rnacentral:lncRNA from 1 species
UGAGCCUUGACACUUUUAUUCUGAGGUUCCAGCUAGCCCUAAGCAGGAAUUUCUGAGAUGGAUAUGUCUCAUUGAUCUUGGAUUUGAUCUGCAGCUAUAAGUUACAAAAGAGGGAGGUCUUACUGUGAAAUACAUCAGAAUAGCUCAAAACUUUCAGUAGGACAGCCAGGCGCGGUGGCUGAUGCCUGUAAUCCCAGCACUUUGGGAGGCCGAGGUGGGCGGAUCACGAGGUACUCGGAAGGCUGAGGCAGGAGAAUCGUUGGAACCCAGGAGGCGGAAGUUGCAGUGAGCUGAGAUCGCGCCACUUCACUCCAGCCUGGGCGACAGAGCAAUACUCCGUCUUGAAAAAAAAAAAUAUUCUGGAAGACAGCUGCUUAGAAGCAGCUGUAGUCUGCAGCUCUCAUGGAGAAGAAUGAAAAUUUCGAGUGAAUUCUACACCUUCAACUGAGAUUCUUGUGCUGUCACUCAGGCUGGAGUGCAACGUUGAAAUCUCGGCUCACUGCAACUUCUGCCUCCCGGAUUCAGGCAAUUCUUGUGUCUCAGCCUCCUAAGAAGCUGAGAUUACAGCAACUCCAAAAUGGAAGUACUAUUGUUAUCUCCGUUUACAAAUUAGGAAACUGAGGCACAGAUAUGCUCUUGGGUACUUGUCAGCAGCAGUUGUUCUACAAAUGAGCGUCUUAGCCUCUGGAUUACUGCUCAAUGAGGAAAGCUAUGAAAUGCAUGGAUAACUUGCUAAUCAGUAUUUGCCAUAUGUGCUAGCAGCAUCAGCAUCAGUUGGGAGAUUAUGGUGGCCUCCAUGUCAGACCUCCUAAAUCGGAAUAUCAGAGAAGGUGGCCCAGGUUACCAUGCUUCAUCUGCCAAUGCAUUGAAAACUUGGAAUGUAAAUUAAUUCAACCAUUGUGGAAGAUGGUGUAGUGAUUCCUCAAAGACCUAGAAGCAGAAAUAUCAUUUGAUCCAGAAAUCCCAUUACUGUGUAUACACCCAAAGGAAUAUAAACCAUUCUAUUACAAAGAUA